rnacentral:rRNA from 1 species
CUACGGGGUGCUGCAGUGAGGAAUAUUGCGCAAUGGGGGAAACCCUGACGCAGCGACGCCGCGUGGAUGAUGAAGGCCUUAGGGUCGUAAAAUCCUGUCAGGUGGGAAGAAGUGGAUAUAGAUUAAUACUCUAUUUCUUUGACGGUACCACCAAAGGAAGCACCGGCUAACUCCGUGCCAGCAGCCGCGGUGAAUACGGAGGGUGCAAACGUUGUUCGGAAUUACUGGGCGUAAAGCGCGCGUAGGCGGUUUGUUAAGUCAGGUGUGAAAGUCCAUGGCUCAACUAUGGGAGUGCAUUUGAAGCUGGCAGACGUGAGUACUGGAGGGGGUGAUGGAAUUCCCGGUGUAGAGGUGAGAUUCGUAGAUAUCGGGAGGAAUACCGGUGGCGAAGGCGAUCACCUGGCCAGAUACUGACGCUGAGGUGCGAAAGCGUGGGGAGCAAACAGGAUUAGAUACCCUAGUAGUC